GACGAACGCUGGCGGCGUGCCUAAUACAUGCAAGUAGAACGCACAGUUUAUACCGUAGCUUGCUACACCAUAGACUGUGAGUUGCGAACGGGUGAGUAACGCGUAGGUAACCUUCCUGGUAGCGGGGGAUAACUAAUGGAAACGAUAGCUAAUACCGCAUAAUAUUAAUUAUUGCAUGAUAAUUAAUUGAAAGGUGCAAUUGCACCACUACCAGAUGGACCUGCGUUGUAUUAGCUAGUAGGUGAGGUAACGGCGCACCUAGGCGAGGAUACAUAGCCGACCGGAGAGGGGGAGCGGCCACACUGGGAGGGAGACAGGGCCCAGAGUACUGCGGGAGGGAGCAGGAGGGAAUCUGGAGGAAGGGACGAAAGGCUGAGCGAGCAAGGCCGCGUGAGUGUAGAAGGAUGUCGGAUCGUGAAGCUCUGUUGUAAGAGAGGAACGGGUGUGAGAGUGGAAAGUUCACACUGUGACGGUAUCUGAACAGAAAGGGACGGCUAACUACGUG
rnacentral:rRNA from 1 species